AUUGAACGCUGGCGGCAGGCUUAACACAUGCAAGUCGAGCGGGGGAAGGUAGCUUGCUACCGGACCUAGCGGCGGACGGGUGAGUAAUGCUUAGGAAUCUGCCUAUUAGUGGGGGACAACAUCUCGAAAGGGAUGCUAAUACCGCAUACGUCCUACGGGAGAAAGCAGGGGAUCUUCGGACCUUGCGCUAAUAGAUGAGCCUAAGUCGGAUUAGCUAGUUGGUGGGGUAAAGGCCUACCAAGGCGACGAUCUGUAGCGGGUCUGAGAGGAUGAACCGCCACACUGGGACUGAGACACGGCCCAGACUCCUACGGGAGGCAGCAGUGGGGAAUAUUGGACAAUGGGGGGAACCCUGAUCCAGCCAUGCCGCGUGUGUGAAGAAGGCCUUAUGGUUGUAAAGCACUUUAAGCGAGGAGGAGGCUACUUUAGUCAAUACCUAGAGAUAGUGGACGUUACUCGCAGAAUAAGCACCGGCUAACUCUGUGCCAGCAGCCGCGGUAAAAC
rnacentral:rRNA from 1 species